UAUUUCAAUCUCAUAUUAUUCUACACACUGAAAAUAUGUGUGGACUGUAUUCUCUGCUUAUUAUCUGAUGCCAUC